rnacentral:tmRNA from 1 species
CGCCUUCAAAUCGGCGCCGUGGUCGCCUAUAUAGGUCAUGUCGGGAAACCGACUAUGGCGAUAAACGCUGCGUGGCAUAGGCGGAUCGGACCCGGGGGCGGUACCCGGCGCCUCCACCAGUUCACCGGCCCCGCUAUGCGGGGCUGGUUUACGGGGGCGAAACAGGAUCGACGGACGCAAUAAAGGCGCAGUUUUUGCUCGGCAUGGUACCGCCGUUACCGGGCCAAACCACAAGUGCCAACGAUAACGACGUUGCACUCGCUGCUGCCGCCUAAACAGCGGACGUAAGCGCGGUUCGGGAGGGCACCGGGCAACAGAAGCCCUCCCACU